rnacentral:rRNA from 1 species
CCUACGGGUGGCAGCAGUGAGGAAUAUUGGUCAAUGGGCGUAAGCCUGAACCAGCCAAGUCGCGUGAGGGAUGAAGGUUCUAUGGAUCGUACACCUCUUUUAUAAGGGAAUAAAGUGUGGGACGUGUCCUAUUUUGUAUGUACCUUAUGAAUAAGGAUCGGCUAACUCCGUUCCAGCAGCCGCGGUAAUACGGAGGAUCCGAGCUUUAUCCGGAUUUAUUGGGUUUAAAGGGUGCGUAGGCGGCCUUUUAAGUCAGCGGUGAACGUCUGUGGAUCAACCAUAGAAUUGCCGUUGAAACUGGGGGGCUGGAGGAUGUUGGAGGCAGGCGGAAGGCGUGGUGUAGCGGUGAAAUGCUUAGAUAUCACGCAGAACCCCGAUUGCGAAGGCAGCCGGCCAAGCCAUGACUGACGCUGAUGCACGAAAGCGUGGGGAUCAAACAGGAUUAGAGACCCGAGUAGUC